AUCCUCAGAGUGAGGCUAAGUGGUUGUCUUCUGAUGUGGAUCUUGUCGAGAAGAUAUUAUUUUACAUUGAAGGUUCAGGGCUGGAUGGAAGGCGGACUGCUGCACUGCUCUUCAUGUGGAAACACAUCCAGCAACACAUUGAACAUCUUAAACCAGAAAUAUAUAUGUGAUUUACUUAGCUUGAGAUGAGCAUCACUAAAUAAUUCUUAGGAAUCUGAAACUGUAAACUUUGAAAAAAUACAAGAAAGGCAAAAUCGCCAGAUUAUUCACGUAAGUUAUGUGCUUCAGACGGAAUUUUGAUACCAUGAUAUGAGCUAAAAGCUUAGAUUGCUAUAAUUUACAGAGAAUGUUCAAGUCAGCAUGAAGCAAAUAGCUUUUGUAUGGAAAUUGAUACUGGGAAGAAUCACCAUUUAAGAAAACAUACCACACUGGAAGCUAUGACAAUAAUGAAGUUUAUUUUGGCAUAACCAUCAAUGUCAUUCAGUUAGAAGCUGAUUGCAAAAGAUUGUAGAAGAAUAUGUGUGUGUGUGUGAAUUUCUUUACAGAACUAGAAGAUUUGAUAAUUUCAGAUUUCAAACUCAUUCAACUGUUAUAAGCAGCAAUACAGAAACAUUUUCUUCAAGAGUAACAACAAAACCCAUUAUCAGGUUGAAACUGAAAUUGCUAUCUGCUGUUGAAACCAUAAAUACGAGUCAAAAUGCACUCCAGUUACAGUAUGGUUAAGAAUACAAAACAGUCUAAGUACAAAUAAAGUGACCACUUUCAAAUCCAGUGGAAAGAGAAUUCUAAAGUAUCCUCAUCAGUACAUCUCUGACAUACCAGCAGUAAAGUAAAUGUCUACUUUGAGUCAUAUUCAAUGGCAUGUCGAGAAGAAACAGUUAUUCAAGAUGUGUACGUGUAAUACUACAAAUUGUUCAUGAACACAAGUACUUCCUUUUUGGACGUGCCAGUAAAUUCAUAACAUAAAUUAUAUGUAUUGUCAGUUACUUAACUGCUUCCCUGAUUAUCCUGGGUUAUCUCAGAUUGAUGAUUUUGUUCUAAAAAAUAACAUGAGUUAAUUCGGGACAAUAUUUCUUCUUCUGUCCCAUUGUUACUGAACUGAGUUAAUUUGGGUCAUUCAGAAAAUAUAUCAGACUCUAGAUGUCAGUAAAUGAUAGACUUUCAUAAGUCAUUUACAUAUUUUUAUGUUAGAUCACACACAAAUAGGAGGACUUCUAUGCUUCUGUAGUUCAUGUCAUAAGUUCUUACGUUAGCUGCAGUGUCAUUUGUAUGUUGUUAUUAUGAAGAAGUUAAUUCUUAUGAAUGAUGGAAAGUGACCCAAGAUAACUCAGUAUAAUAAUCAUUACAACUAUAUAAACAACAUUUUUACAGUAUGAUUAUGUUUUUUUUAUAAACACACAUAUCAGUAAUUUAAUUUUUGUUGGUAUAUUAAAAAUUUGAAACAAAAAUGUAUAAUUCUUUUUGGUCCUAUUUUCUGAAAAUAUAAUAUAUUCCACAUUUUUAUGUAGUUCGGCAUAACACUCUUGACUUUUCUGAUGUUUUGUAAUUGGCAUGUUUAAGUUUAAUGUCUUUAUUUAAUAAAUUGUAGAUAAUUGUAAGAAAGGACUAGGAAAAUCAUUUGUUGAGAGAUUGUAAUUUAAUGUUGAUAUUACUGUUGCAAAAUACUUUUAUAAUUGUAGCAUACAGAUACUUAUCAGUAGGUUUGUGAAUAUUUAUGUUGUAUUUUAGGAACAGAUCGUAUGUGAACUUGUAUGAUUUCUGGUGUUCUCAAUAAAAUGUACAUGUAAAUGUUAGUGAUCCCCAUAUAA